CCUCCCACCCGUGUUUAUUAUACCUUGUAUGCUUCGGCGGGCCCGCCUCACGGCCGCCGGGGGGCACCUGCCCCCGGGCCCGCGCCCGCCAAAAACACCAUUGAACUCUGGCUGAAGAUUGGAGGCUGAGCAAAUGACCUAAACAGUUAAAACUUUGAACAAUGGAUCUCUGGAUUCCGGCAUCCCCGAAGAUGCCCGGGAAAUGCGGUGGGUCAAAGAAUUCGUUAAAUCCAGUGAAUUCAGCAAUUCUUAUUACUCACCUUGUUCCCCCUGGCUUUUCCGGGGGGCCGGAACGUCCGAGCGUCCAUUGCUGCCCUCAAGCACGGCAAUUUUGAGAGUAGUCAAACAGCCCACCCUCAACAGGGUGCAAACAGCCCUAAAGCGGGCGCGGGCACCGCGUCCGGUCCUCGAGCGUAUGGGGCUUUGUCACCCGCUCUGUAGGCCCGGCCGGCGCCCGCCGGCGACCCCAAUCAAGC
rnacentral:rRNA from 1 species